rnacentral:rRNA from 1 species
UACAGAGGGGGGCGAGCGUUAUUCGGAAUUAUUGGGCGUAAAGGGCGCGUAGGCGGCUUGGCAAGUGGAUGGUGAAAUCCCUCGGCUUAACCGAGGAACUGCCGUCCAAACUGCUUCGCUUGAGACCGGGAGAGGUGAGUGGAAUUCCCAGUGUAGCGGUGAAAUGCGUAGAUAUUGGGAGGAACACCAGUGGCGAAGGCGGCUCACUGGCCCGGAACUGACGCUGAGGUGCGAAAGCGUGGGGAGCAAACAGG